UGUAAUGAAACGUCUAAGGAUGGGCAACUU
rnacentral:piRNA from 1 species